rnacentral:rRNA from 1 species
CAGCCGCCGCGGGAAUACGGAGGGAGCUAGCGUUGUUCGGAAUUACUGGGCGUAAAGCGCACGUAGGCGGUUAUUCAAGUCAGAGGUGAAAGCCCGGGGCUCAACCCCGGAACUGCCUUUGAAACUAGAUGACUGGAAUCUUGGAGAGGUCAGUGGAAUUCCGAGUGUAGAGGUGAAAUUCGUAGAUAUUCGGAAGAACACCAGUGGCGAAGGCGACUGACCGGACAAGUAUUGACGCUGAGGUGCGAAAGCGUGGGGAGCAAACAGGAUUAGAUACCCCCGUAGUCCCUGUCUCUUAUAC